rnacentral:rRNA from 1 species
GUAUAGGAAUCUGCCUAACAGUAUGGAAUAACCCUGGGAAACCAGAGCUAAUACCAUAUAUUACCGAUUUAUCGGGAAAGAUUUAUCGCUGUUAGAUGAGCCUGUAUCAGAUUAGCUUGUUGGUAGGGUAAUGGCCUACCAAGGCGAUGAUCUGUAGCUGGUCUGAGAGGAUGAUCAGCCACACUGGGACUGCGACACGGCCCAGACUCCUACGGGAGGCAGCAGUGGGGAAUAUUGGACAAUGGGCGAAAGCCUGAUCCAGCAAUACCACGUGAAUGAUGAAGGCCUUAGGGUUGUAAA